rnacentral:rRNA from 1 species
UACAGAGGUGGCAAGCGUUGUUCGGAAUUACUGGGCGUAAAGGGCGCGUAGGCGGCCAUCUAAGUCAGACGUGAAAUCCCCCGGCUUAACCUGGGAACUGCGUCUGAUACUGGACGGCUGGAGUUUGGGAGAGGGAUGUAGAAUUCCAGGUGUAGCGGUGAAAUGCGUAGAUAUCGUGAGGAACACCAGAGGCGAAGGCGGCUACCUGGACAAUUGCUGACGCUCAGGCACGAAAGCGUGGGGAGCAAAAGGG